UCAGAAAAAAUAUUUGUCAUUUAUCAAGUAUUCAAGUUUUUUUUUUUUUUAAUAAUCAAUUUACAAUGCAAUUAUAAACAAUUACAAGCAUACAUUUUCAAAAAAAAAAUUACAUAAUUAAAGGUGCACUCGUCAGUCAGGAAAAAAAAAACCACACCUUUGUAAACAAUUAAAAAGGGGGAAAAUACUCAAUGCCAAUGGUUUCCCUAAAAAAAAACACACACAAACCUUUUCAAGUCUACACCUGGAAAAACUGCCAAAUUCAGUUGUUUUAAUAUGUAAUUUUCAUUUUACACGAGUGGCUACUUCACAUUUAUAAGAUAGAGAACAUACAAUGGUCACUCUAUGGACCAAGUUUCAAUACCAUAGUUAUCCCUGAUUGAACCAAAGACACAACACUGGCUCACUGCGGAGGGCCAAUACGAUUUAAAGAGACAGUGUUUCAGUUAGCAGAUUGGGUACAUGGAGCAGAUUGGGCUAUUACAUGGAGGCUGUUCCUCUUGAAACGAGCCGGUGUUGAGCCUUAGGAACCUUUAGUCAUUUCAGAUCAUGACAUGGAGAAUUUCCCUGUAUUCAGAGCGUAUGUAUUUUAACAAGAAUACAGUCUAGAUUGGAUAAUUAAUUCUCAUGCUGCAAACAGUAACAUUGCCAAGUACAAAGGCAAACCAUCAUCCAGUUGUGUUGGUUUCAAGAGGUUUUCUUCCUGAAUGUGAAAGUUAUAUUGAAAGAAAGAGUAAACCAAAUCUUUUAUAAAUAUGGAGAUAUAUUAGGAGGGUUUAAUUUUGAUAGAAAUACAAACAACUGAAUGGUUUUUGAAGGUUAUGCACUGAAGUAGAAAUGGUUAUGAAUCUAAAGUAGUUUUCAAAUUUUAGGUCAUAGGUGACUUUCCAAUUCAGAUAUUGUGACUUAAAAUAGGGGGAAAAAAUGCAGAACUCACAUUUCCAAAAUUUAAAAAUGUCGCAAACAUUUAAUUGGAAGAAACGGAGGAUAAAUUAUUAAUCGUUUCCUGGAUCCCAAUCCAAUGGUUUAUAGAAAUUAGGCGGGGGUGAGGGGGUAGGAAAUCUGAAUGGGAGCCCAUCAUCUCCAAAAGGGAAACCAUCACCGCUCUUGCACUGCAAUCGAAUUAAAGAGGUGGGUAUUAUACCUCUGUGUGGCCGUGCUCCUCUUCCACUCUUCCCCAAGCAGGUGGCAAAAAACAAAACAAAAAAACCCCCCACAAACUAUUAAAUUUUAAGCUCUUUAAAAAGACAUGACUGGUUCCCUUUAAUAAACUCCCAAAAACUAAAUCUAAUAGCCGAGAACAGAGAAGCAGAAUGACAUUUAUAUAGUUUGCCACUUUCCAUUCAAGACCUUAAAUUCGAGCUACAUUUACCAGCACAACUUUUAUACAUUUUAUUGUUUUGGUCUAAAUAAUUACCUGUUUUUAGCAUGCAGAAUUUUGUAUAUUUUUUCUAAAUACAAAAAGAAUAUACAAAACUACGCAUGCAGCGUGUCAUCAGAAAAGUGAAGAAGGCCACAAAUAUUUGAAGGGGUCAGAGAGCAACAUUUUAAACACCUUGCUAUUAUCCAGGUGUAAACCGUACUGAGCAUGGCAACAAUGUGACAGCUGAGAAAGGACAGCCUGGCAGCACACAUCUCUCUCUCUCC